CACGAGAACCAUUUAUUUAAACAUAAGAAAUAAUUAUUUGACUGAAUAUUUUUUGGUACAUUCUUUCAACGAUUGCUGGCUAGCACUGUUAAAUUGUGUUUAUAGUAAAUCAAGUAUUACAGACCGAAUAUUUGAAUGAUUAAUGGGCACACUAUGGUUCAUGUUACUUCUUUGUAUCCUUAAUAUUUUAUUUCUUUUCAUGUAUGUUCCAUAUUACACAUUCAGCCAUUUGUCAAGAUUCAAAACAGAGAACAUAAUUAGUGAUAUUAACCUUCUAUAUUUUAUUACUAAUUGAGCAACUAACUUGGGAGCAGAUGUUGUCAAUGGAGUAAGUUGGAUUAUAUUUACCUGUGAAGAUAUAUUGGUUGUGCCCUUCUUCGAUUGGUGUCAGGUUUUCCCUAGAAUCACAUCUUUGAUGCGAGAUCUGGUAGAUAUGAAGAAUUUGGUUGAGUUGCAUCGAUUGAGAUGGUAGCACACAGGGAGACUGCAUUUGACCUGGCCAAGUUCGUCGACAAGGAUGUCCAUGUGAAGCUCACCGGCAGCCGGCAAGGUCAUAUCAUCAUUGGCUUCUCCUCCGAGGCUUGAUGGUGUUCUGAGUGUUGAUGUCAAUGACUUCCAAACCAAUAUGGUGCCCUACCCAAGGAUCCACUUCAUGCUUUCCUCCUAUGCGCGAAAUUUAGGUACCUCUGUUGGCAUACUAGAGUAGAAGGCACUGACGUCUUGA